AGAUUGAACGCUGGCGGAAUGCUUUACACAUGCAAGUCGAACGGCAGCACGGGACUCAGGCAACUGAGCCCUGGUGGCGAGUGGCGAACGGGUGAGUAACAUAUCGGAACGUACCCAGUCGUGGGGGAUAACUCUCCGAAAGGAGAGCUAAUACCGCAUACGUCCUGAGGGAGAAAGCGGGGGACCUAAGGGUAACUGAGGGCCUCGCGCGGAUUGGAGCGGCCGAUAUCGGAUUAGCUAGUUGGUGAGGUAAAGGCUCACCAAGGCGACGAUCCGUAGCGGGUCUGAGAGGACGACCCGCCACACUGGAACUGAGACACGGUCCAGACUCCUACGGGAGCAGCAGUGGGGAAUUUGGACAA
rnacentral:rRNA from 1 species